GUUUAUGUUACUUAGGCUACAGAAAUGCACCAACAUUUAAUCACUUGUUCCUUUUGUCAUUUCCAACAACUGUACAAAAUUUCAUCCAAACCGUGCACAAGUUUUCGAGUUAUCCUGCUGACAGACAAACCAACGCGACUGAAAACAUUGCCUCCUUGGCGGAGCUCUUCUGAAAGAAGUUCUGAUAAAUCAACAAAUUCUAAUGGAUCAGCAAAAGAACAUAAUCAGAAUGAUCCAAGAUUUGCAAAGAUCCAACAGUGGUGUCACAGGGAUUCCCAUCACUUCAUCCCACAUGACCAUCUUCCCUCUGAGUGAUAAGCCUGCCCUGUAUAAACUUGAGAAGGAUCUAGCAAAUCAACCAGACCUCCGUAAGGAACUGGUCAUCACUCUUGGAUUGGCAGGGGGGCAACAGUAAAA